rnacentral:rRNA from 1 species
GACGAACGCUGGCGGCGUGCCUAAUACAUGCAAGUAGAACGCUGAAGGAGGAGCUUGCUUCUCCGGAUGAGCUGCGAACGGGUGAGUAACGCGUAGGUAACCUGCCUGGUAGCGGGGGAUAACUAUUGGAAACGAUAGCUAAUACCGCAUAAGAGUAGAUGUUGCAUGACAUUUGCUUAAAAGGUGCAAUUGCAUCACUACCAGAUGGACCUGCGUUGUAUUAGCUAGUUGGUGGGGUAACGGCUCACCAAGGCGACGAUACAUAGCCGACCUGAGAGGGUGAUCGGCCACACUGGGACUGAGACACGGCCCAGACUCCUACGGGAGGCAGCAGUAGGGAAUCUUCGGCAAUGGACGGAAGUCUGACCGAGCAACGCCGCGUGAGUGAAGAAGGUUUUCGGAUCGUAAAGCUCUGUUGUAAGAGAAGAACGAGUGUGAGAGUGGAAAGUUCACACUGUGACGGUAUCUUACCAGAAAGGGACGGCUAACUACGUGC